rnacentral:tRNA from 1 species
GGGGUGUUAGCUCAGCUGGGAGAGAACCUGCCUUGCACGCAGGGGGUCAUCGGUUCGAUCCCGAUACGCUCCACCA